CCUACGGGAGGCUGCAGUGGGGGAUAUUGCACAAUGGGGGGAACCCUGAUGCAGCGACGCCGCGUGGGUGAAGAAGCGCCACGGCGCGUAAAGCCCUGUCAGCAGGGAAGAAAAUGACGGUACCUGACGAAGAAGCCCCGGCUAACUACGUGCCAGCAGCCGCGGUAAUACGAAGGGGGCAAGCGUUAUCCGGAUUUACUGGGGGUAAAGGGGGCGCAGGCGGCGAUGCAAGCCAGGCGUGAAAGCCCGGGGCCCAACCCCGGGACUGCUCGUGGAACUGCGUGGCUGGAGUGCAGGAGGGGCAGGCGGGAUUCCUGGUGUAGCGGUGAAAUGCGUAGAUAUCAGGAGGAACACCGGUGGCGAAGGCGGCCUGCUGGACUGCAACUGACGUUGAGGCCCGAAAGCGUGGGGAGCAAACAGGAUUAGAUACCCGUGUAGUC
rnacentral:rRNA from 1 species